UUUUAGGUGUUCUGCACCCGAUCCCGAUAUCGUAGGAGAACCAUUCUUGCAUCAGAUUGUGUUCUGCACCCAAAGUCGACAUCGUAGUAGAACCAUUCUUGCAUCAGAUUGUUUUCUGCACUCGAUCCCGAUAUCGUAGGAGAUCCAUUCUUGCAUCAGAUUCUGUUCUGCACCGAAGCCCGAUAUCGUAGGAGAACCAUUUUUGCAUCAGAUUGUAAGUAAUUAAUUUCUUUAUCAUUUUCAUACAUAACUUUUAUGAAAACUUAUGAAUUAGCGAGAAAAAUUGACUUUUUGUAUUUCCAAGCACUGAUUUUUGCUGAUUACUGAAACGGUUUGUUUACAUUUAGUCAUUCUGAAUAGUUUUUGGAUUAUAUAUAACAUGGAUUGUGUUUUAUUAA